rnacentral:rRNA from 1 species
CCCUUAGAUGUUCUGGGCCGCACGCGCGCUACACUGAUUCAUGCAACAAAUUUUGUCCUUGGCUGAUAGGCCUGGGUAAUCUUUGAACGUGAAUCGUGAUGGGGAUAGAUGAUUGCAAUUAUUCAUCUUCAACGAGGAAUUCCUAGUAAACGCAAGUCAUCAGCUUGCAUUGAUUACGUCCCUGCCCUUUGUACACACCGCCCGUCGCACCUACCGAUUGAAUGGUCCGGUGAAAUCUUCGGAUCUGAGAGAUGUCUGAUUAAUUUCGGACGCCUUUUGGAAAAGUUGCUUAAACCUUACCAUUUAGAGGAAGGUGAAGUCGUAACA